GCCGGCUGGCAGGUUAUUAAGCGCAUAUGCGGUCUGCAGGGUUGUGCUCAAAGCUACAGCCGACGCUGCGGCAGCCGUAGCGAUAGCUGCAACAAUUGCAGCCGUGAUUUUAAAGUUCUUGCGAGUCUUGAACAAUGUUAAGGAAUUAGGAGCGUCUACAGGAACAGGAAUAAUGUCUGGGUAAACGAGCAACAGCAACAGGAUGCGAAGAGGCAUUCUAACACAACGUACAGUUACAAGUGGAUGAUGUACAAUUAAGCAGUGAAGUAGCAGGUGUCUCAGAUAAAUUCUGACCGAAAAAAAGGCCAUCUCCUCUGUCCUCUGCGUCUUUUCUCCCUUCUCUCCCUUUUCUCCUCCUUUCUUUCUCUCCCCUUUCUCCUCCUUUCUUUCUCUCCCCUUUCUCCUCCUUUCUUUCUCUCCCCUUUCUCCUUUCUUUCUUUCUCUCCCCUUUCUCCUUUCUUUCUCUCUCUUUUCUCCUUUCUUUCUUUCUCUCCCCUAUCUCCUUUCUUUCUUUCUCUCCCUUUUCUUCUGGCGGCUCUCGCUCUGGCGGCUCUCGCUCUGGCGGCUCUCGCUCUGGCGGCUCUCGCUCUGGCGGCUCUCGCUCUGGCGGCUCUCGCUCUGGCUCUGGCGGCUCUCGCUCUGGCUCUGGCGGCUCUCGCUCUGAGCUUAUGGAAGCAGGGGAGUUUUGGCCGUCCCACACGUCAGUUCUGAACUCUACCUCUUCUGAGGUCGUCUUCCGCUGGUGCCUCAAAGUUGUUUCGAGUCCCGGGUUUCGGCACCACUUGUCGCGCCCGCCUCGCCAGCAAGGAAGACGCGGCAACAGGAGUUCUUUUGACAGUGCUUUAAUGGGGUUCCCUUUAGACUUACAUGAUGCGGAAGACCCUGAGCACAAGCUCUCACACACUUAUAUACUCUAAGGAAGGGGGGAAGUGAUGGGGAUAGGUUAAAAGCGCGUGAGGGUUACUACUGAUAGGCCAAGCUAAGAUCUUUCAUAUGCAUACUUAAUGAGACAGGAAAAGCCCCUACACCUGCGCAGUUCACCCUGUUUAUCAGUCUUGUAGUAUCGGCGUGACCAGGAAGCCGGCGCCAUCUUGCAAUGGCGUUAACACCGCGCCCCACAAAG
ensembl:lincRNA